GACGAACGCUGGCGGCGUGCUUAAUACAUGCAAGUCGAGCGAAUGGAUUAAGAGCUUGCUCUUAUGAAGUUAGCGGCGGACGGGUGAGUAACACGUGGGUAACCUGCCCAUAAGACUGGGAUAACUCCGGGAAACCGGGGCUAAUACCGGAUAACAUUUUGAACCGCAUGGUUCGAAAUUGAAAGGCGGCUUCGGCUGUCACUUAUGGAUGGACCCGCGUCGCAUUAGCUAGUUGGUGAGGUAACGGCUCACCAAGGCAACGAUGCGUAGCCGACCUGGGAGGGUGAUCGGCCACACUGGGACUGAGACACGGCCCAGACUCCUACGGGAGGCAGCAGUAGGGAAUCUUCCGCAAUGGACGAAAGUCUGACGGAGCAACGCCGCGUGAGUGAUGAAGGCUUUCGGGUCGUAAAACCCUGUUGUUAGGGAAGAACAAGUGCUAGUUGAAUAAGCUGGCACCUUGACGGUACCUAACCAGAAAGCCACGGCUAACUACGUGCCAGCCGCCGCAGUAACAC
rnacentral:rRNA from 1 species